AGUGAACGCUGGCGGCGUGCUUAACACAUGCAAGUCGAACGAGAACGGAUUAUAGCUUGCUAUAAUUGUCAGCUAAGUGGCGCACGGGUGAGUAAUGUAUAGAUAACCUGCCCUCUAGAAAGGAAUAACAGUUGGAAACGACUGCUAAUGCCCUAUAUGCCUUUAAUACAUAAGUAUGCAAGGGAAACGCUUUAGUGCUUAAGGAUGGGUCUGUAUGGUAUCAGCUUGUUGGUGAGGUAAUGGCUCACCAAGGCUAUGACGCCUAACUGGUUUGAGAGGAUGAUCAGUCACACUGGAACUGAGACACGGUCCAGACUCCUACGGGAGGCAGCAGUGGGGAAUAUUGCACAAUGGACGAAAGUCUGAUGCAGCAACGCCGCGUGGAGGAUGACACAUUUCGGUGCGUAAACUCCUUUUAUAUAGGAAGAUAAUGACGGUACUAUAUGAAUAAGCACCGGCUAACUCCGUGCCAGCAGCCGCCGUAA
rnacentral:rRNA from 1 species